GCGACCCCAGGAUGGGCGGGGCGACCCGCUG
rnacentral:rRNA from 1 species